ensembl:lncRNA
AUGUGGCAGUCCCUGCCCGCCAGGAGCUGGACUGCAUGUGGGGGGCGGGCCUGCUGUUCCCAGGGGCAGGCCCCACCCAGGUGCCUUCAUCACAGAGCAGUUCACCCCUUUGGGACAACACCUCCCAUCAGGAGAGAAAAAAGACCGGGCAGCCAGGGCAGGGAGGUGGGACCGGGCAAGGUAGGCUUGGCAGUCCCAGCCCUCUUUGCUUCGGGCCCCUCGGUGCCCACCCUGCCCUGGGGUUCCUUGGCCCAUCUCCGAGCAGUCUCUGUGCUGGGAAUUGUCACCUCCAGGCCACAGCGGGGGGCUCCAGGAUCUCUCGACCCCUCUACUUCUUCCCUCCCUCCCUCCUCCCUCCCUCCCACUACAGCUCUGGGGCACCUGCCCGUCCUGGAGUGGAGGGCAGAGCAGCCGCACAGACAGGACCGGCCCACGUGGCGUCUGCGUUCUCCCGGGGGAGGGACAAGUGAGCAAGUCGGUGGUGUCAGAUGGGGACCGCUGCUCCCGUGGGGCCUUAGGAGCCAAGCUCAGGAGCUCGGGGGCACAGCGCCGCCGGCUCUGCCUGCCUCACCCCUCCUCCCUCUCUCUGUCACACCCUCCUGCCUCAGUAGGCCCCACCCUCUGGGACCCCCAUUUGUGCGUGCUGAGGCUGUGGGGCAAAGAGCUGGACUUCAGGGGGUGGCGAGGAAGCAGAGAUCAUGUCCAGGCCGCUCCCGGCGGCAGCUGCAGCCUUCGGCUUCCCGGCCCCACGGGGGCUCCAGGGCCGGUGCCUGUGCCCAGCCGCACGGGGGCUCCAGGGCCGGCGCCUGUGCCCAGUCCCACGGGGGCUCCAAGGACCUCUUAAGGUCUCAGCAUUUUUGCAGCUUACAGAAGAGUUGGGGGGUGAGGGGAGGCACUUCCUCUCCUCUUAGUCCAGGUGCACCAGCUGUUCCCUUACCCCCUGUCCUCUCUCCUCCUCCACCGCCCUCCCAUAUCUUUUCUGAGUUAUUUGACGAUAGUGGGAAGUCAUGUGCUUUUUCAUUUAAAGAAUUUUAUAAAGAUUUAUUUAUUUAUUUGGAAGGCAGAGUGAUGGGGGGGGAGAGACAGAGAGACAUCUUCCAUUCGCUGGUUCAUUCCCCAAAAGGCCACAAUAGCCAGGGCUGGCCAGGAGCUUCUCCAAGUCUCCCACAUGGGUCUAGGGGCCCAAGCACUUGGCCUCAGGCCACUAGCGUGGAGCCUGAUUGGAUGUGCAGCACAGCGGACUUGAACCUGUGUCCAUUUGGGAGGCCAGCAUCACCGGCCCUGGCUUUAUCUGCUAUGCCACAGCGCCAGACCCUCAUGCACUUUUUUUUUUUAAAGGGUUUAUUUUUUGGAAGGCAAAUUGACAGAGAGCAGGAGAGAGGAGUGAUCUUCCACCUGCAGUUCACUCUCCAAAUGCCAGGGUUGGGCCGGGCCCAGGCCAGGAGUCUGGAGCUCGAUCCAGGUCUCCCACCCGGGGGCAGGGACCCAAGCACUUGGCCAUCUUCUGCUGCCUUCCCAGACACAUGGGCAGGGAGCGGAUUGGAAGGGGAGCCCUUGAGACUCAUUGGCUACGGGUUGCUGAUGUGA